UAUGUAGGGGGCUAGCGUUGUCCGGAUUUAUUGGGCGUAAAGAGCGUGUAGGCGGCCAGGUAGGUCUGCUGUGAAAACUCGAGGCUCAACCUCGAGACGUCGGCGGAAACCAUCUGGCUAGAGUCCGGAAGAGGAGAGUGGAAUUCCUGGUGUAGCGGUGAAAUGCGCAGAUAUCGGGAAGAACACCCGUGGCGAAGGCGGCUCUCUGGGACGGUACUGACGCUGAGACGCGAAAGCGUGGGGAGCGAACAGG
rnacentral:rRNA from 1 species